rnacentral:rRNA from 1 species
AUUGAACGCUGGCGGCAGGCCUAACACAUGCAAGUCGAGCGGAUGAAGGGAGCUUGCUCCUGGAUUCAGCGGCGGACGGGUGAGUAGUGCCUAGGAAUCUGCCUGGUAGUGGGGGAUAACGUCCGGAAACGGGCGCUAAUACCGCAUACGGCCUGAGGGAGAAAGUGGGGGAUCUUCGGACCUCACGCUAUCAGAUGAGACUAGGUCGGAUUAGCUAGUGGGUGGGGUAAAGGCCUACCAAGGCGACGAUCCGUAACUGGUCUGAGAGGAUGAUCAGUCACACUGGAACUGAGACACGGUCCAGACUCCUACGGGAGGCAGCAGUGGGGAAUAUUGGACAAUUGGCGAAAGCCUGAUCCAGCCAUGCCGCGUGUGUGAAGAAGGUCUUCGGAUUGUAAAGCACUUUAAGUUGGGAGGAAGGGCAGUAAGUUAAUACCUUGCUGUUUUGACGCUACCAACAGAAUAAGCACCGGCUAACUUCGUG